CCUCCUGUUACACAUUGUAACAAUAAUUUUUGAGGCACUAAAUAGACUUUGAAUGCUUCACACUCUUUAUUGAUAAGAACUUUUCACACUCCAAGGUUUAUUCUACUUUGAAUUCUUCACACUCUUCAUUGAUGAGAACUUUUCACACUCCACGGAACUUUUCACACUCGACGAUUUAUUCUAAUAAUAUAUUUUUUUCACAAGUCUCCAAAUUUCCCAUGACUAUGGUUCAGGAUUCUAGGAGCAGAUAGAGCCAAAUUCCAACUCGAGGGCAGAGACACCUACAUCCAGAUUUUGGGAAGGAAGUAUUGGAAUGGUGGCAACAAUAAUGAAGCGUCCCUUUGGAAGUAAUUUGAUACCUCAGUCUAUGAUAAGAGUUGGUGAGGCGCGGAGGCUUCGGCCUGCCGUUGUUCUCUCCAAGAAUGGAGAGCAGAGUAUGAUUCUCAAUAAUGAAAUUGUGAUAAUCUUUCAGGAUCCAUGUUGAUCUGUAAUGUUUGUAGUGGAAAACUAUGAUCAAAAUUAAUUUUUGAUUUCUACUUGAGUGUUAGAAAAAUUUGAAUUAUGCAUUUUUUUGAUUUUAGUGUGACCUCAUUUAAUGUGAUGGAAAUAAAUCUGUGUAAGUAA